AGACCGGCGCACGGGUGCGUAACGCGUAUGCAAUCUGCCUUACACUAAGGGAUAGCCCAGAGAAAUUUGGAUUAAUACCUUAUAGUAUAUUGAUGUGGCAUCACAUUAUUAUUAAAGAUUUAUCGGUGUAAGAUGAGCAUGCGNCCCAUUAGCUAGUUGGUAUGGUAACGGCAUACCAAGGCAAUGAUGGGUAGGGGUCCUGAGAGGGAGAUCCCCCACACUGGUACUGAGACACGGACCAGACUCCUACGGGAGGCAGCAGUGAGGAAUAUUGGUCAAUGGUCGCAAGACUGAACCAGCCAUGCCGCGUGCAGGAUGAAGCAUCUAUGGUGUGUAAACUGCUUUUGUACGGGAAGAAACACCCCUUCGUGAAGGGGCUUGACGGUACCGUAAGAAUAAGGAUCGGCUAACUCCGUGCCAGCAGCCGCGGUAAUACGGAGGAUCCGAGCGUUAUCCGGAAUCAUUGGGUUUAAAGGGUCCGUAGGCGGUUUUGUAAGUCAGUGGUGAAAUCCGGCAGCUCAACUGUCGAACUGCCAUUGAUACUGCAGGACUUGAAUUACUGUGAAGUAACUAGAAUAUGUAGUGUAGCGGUGAAAUGCUUAGAUAUUACAUGGAAUACCAAUUGCGAAGGCAGGUUACUAACAUUAUAUUGACGCUGAUGGACGAAAGCGUGGGGAGCGAACAGGAUUAGAUACCCUGGUAGUCCACGCCGUANACGAUGGAUACUAGCUGUUUGGUUGUAAGACUGAGUGGCUAAGCGAAAGUGAUAAGUAUCCCACCUGGGGAGUACGGGCGCAAGCC
rnacentral:rRNA from 1 species